rnacentral:rRNA from 1 species
UGGCUUCCGGAGCUAACGCGUUAAGUCGACCGCCUGGGGAGUACGGCCGCAAGGUUAAAACUCAAAUGAAUUGACGGGGGCCCGCACAAGCGGUGGAGCAUGUGGUUUAAUUCGAUGCAACGCGAAGAACCUUACCUGGUCUUGACAUCCACAGAACUUUCCAGAGAUGGAUUGGUGCCUUCGGGAACUGUGAGACAGGUGCUGCAUGGCUGUCGUCAGCCCGUGUUGUGAAAUGUUGGGUUAAGUCCCGCAACGAGCGCAACCCUUAUCCUUUGUUGCCAGCGGUCCGGCCGGGAACUCAAAGGAGACUGCCAGUGAUAAACUGGAGGAAGGUGGGGAUGACGUCAAGUCAUCAUGGCCCUUACGACCAGGGCUACACACGUGCUACAAUGGCGCAUACAAAGAGAAGCGACCUCGCGAGAGCAAGCGGACCUCAUAAAGUGCGUCGUAGUCCGGAUUGGAGUCUGCAACUCGACUCCAUGAAGUCGGAAUCGCUAGUAAUCGUGGAUCAGAAUGCCACGGUGAAUACGUUCCCGGGCCUUGUACACACCGCCCGUCACACCAUGGGAGUGGGUUGCAAAAGAAGUAGGUAGCUUAACCUU